UACGGAAGGCAGCAGUGGGGAAUAAUUGCACAAUGGGCGCAAGCCUGAUGCAGCCAUGCCGCGUGUAUGAAGAAGGCCUUCGGGUUGUAAAGUACUUUCAGUCGUGAGGAAGGUGUUAAGGUUAAUAACCUUAGCAAUUGACGUUAGCGACAGAAGAAGCACCGGCUAACUCCGUGCCAGCAGCCGCGGUAAUACGGAGGGUGCGAGCGUUAAUCGGAAUUACUGGGCGUAAAGGGCACGCAGGCGGUUAAUUAAGUUGGAUGUGAAAUCCCCGGGCUUAACCUGGGAAUGGCAUUCAAGACUGGUUAGCUAGAGUCUUGUAGAGGGGGUAGAAUUCCGAUGUGUAGCGGUGAAAUGCGUAGAGAUGUGGAGGAAUACCGGUGGCGAAGGCGGCCCCUGGACAAAGACUGACGCUCAUGGUGCGAAAGCGUGGGGAGCAAACAGGGAUUAGAUACC
rnacentral:rRNA from 1 species